GCUCUCUGUGGGGGGCGGAGCUAAGCGGAGAGCGUACCGAAGGAGGCAAAAGCGGAUCAAUGGGGAAGCGGAGCGGAAGGGCGCCAGCGAAUGAGCGCGGGCCGCGGGGCAAGGGGCGGGGCCUGAGGAGAGGCCCGGGCGGGGCUGAGGGGCGCGGCUCCGGGAGAGCUGGAGGCGGAGGUUCAAGGCUAGCGGCGCUGGGUCUCUACUCCUCGCUGGGGGGGGUUGUUUGUUUGCUUUGCUUUUCCCUCCAGCUGGGUCCUUUGUUUUCUGCCGGCCUGUCCAGUGCUUCAGCCCUCCGGGAGCCCACACUGCUGAAGGCGGCAAGGUUGUGAAAGCGAGGAGGCGGGUGGGGUGUAGAAGAGAACAACCCGGUAUUUGGAACCCCAAGCACGUGGCACGCGUGGGAUGCUCCGUAAAAACCUGGAUUUCCAGACCCGCUAAUCGCUUACUUCUAUCCUGCGGCACUUCGAACUUAAUAUGGCCAAGACGGAAUUCAUCCAUUUUUCCAAACUCUGCACUGACUCCUCCUGUGCCCCCUGACUCAUAGGCACAGUGUUGUAAGCAGCAUGUCACAAGGCUCCACACCCAGCAUGGAACACAAUGCGGGGCCUGAACCCAC